AUGCAGCAUCAAAAGACAUCUUGGAAAAAAAGAUUCUUUCCUUGCGGUAUAUAUCCGUGUUUGUCUUUUGCUUACGUUUUACGUUACGUUUACAAGCUCGUGAUUUAUCAGAAUUUUUUUUUUGGUUUUAGUCGUCGAUACUUUGCAUAAUACUGUGCACGGUUUUACGACUCACGUCCCCGCAACACGGAGGUUAAACACUAGUUCUAUAUAACAUUUCAAUAGUUAGAUGGAGCUGGACAAAAAUUACAUGAAUGUCUUGCCUAUCAAACCUGAAAAUUAGUUAACAAACCUGAUCGAACUAGACAACAAGGAGAUUCAAGGCUGUUAAUGGUCAUCAGUGAGUUCCAUAUCAUUGAGAGCCUGAAGUGUUGUUCGCGCGUUAAGGAAAUGUGCAUGUCUCAAAAAAGUAUGCACACAGCCGACCCAAAAAAUUUUGCUAGAAUUCGCGAAGAAGUGAAGAGAUGCAUAGAAAUGAUGACUCAAACAAGGAAUUACCUAGUUAAACCAAAAUGUUUGAAGGUGCACCUACAAGGACCAAGGGUUGGGCAUACGAUGACACUGCGAUGAAAAUCGAACAAUUGAAGAACUUCAAAGCUCCAGAGGAGAUGGAAGUGCUUUAGUUGAUCAUUUUACAGACGGCACCUUUGACUUUAUAGCGGAUGUAUUCCUAAAAUAACGAUGAAAAAAUGGAUGGUGGUGUGGAUCCGUGGAAUCAUACAUAAUUUCGGGUGGGUUUAUGGAAUCAUUCAACGCGAGUCUUGAAGUUGAAAGAACACAACAAUGCGAAAAGAAAUUGAAUGGGCCAUCACAUGAAAAAAAACCUAAGCUAGAAGCUAUGUAGAAAGAUUAUCACAACCAACAAGCAAACUUUGAAGUUAUGAUGCGAAGUAUUAUGGAAAAGCUACCUAAUGGAGUAUUAUAGGAUCUUGGAGAUGAUUAGGAGGUUUUCUUUACUUUUUAUGAUUGUACUUCAC
rnacentral:lncRNA from 1 species